AUUGAACGCUGGCGGCAGGCCUAACACAUGCAAGUCGAACGAGUGGCGGACGGGUGAGUAAUGUCUGGGAAACUGCCUGAUGGAGGGGGAUAACUACUGGAAACGGUAGCUAAUCCCGCAUACCAUCGGAUGUUCCCAUCUGGGAGUGGCUAGUAGGUGGGGUAAAGGGUCACCUAGGCGGCGAUCCCUAGCUGGUCUGAGAGGAUGACCAGCCAACCGGGAACUGAGACACGGUCCCGAGUCCUACGGGAGGCAGCGGUGGGGAAUAUUGGACAAUGGGCGCAAGCCUGAGGCAGCCAUGCCGCGUGUAUGAAGAAGGCCUUCGGGUUUUAAAGUACUUUCAGCGGGGAGGCGUUACCCGCAGAAGAAGCACCGGCUAACUCCGUGCCAGCAGCCGCGGUAAUUC
rnacentral:rRNA from 1 species